rnacentral:rRNA from 1 species
CUGUGCUUGCACACCGUGUUUUCUUGAGUCGCGAACGGGUGAGUAACGCGUAGGUAACCUGCCUAUUAGCGGGGGAUAACUAUUGGAAACGAUAGCUAAUACCGCAUAGUAUUAAUUAUUGCAUGAUAAUUGAUUGAAAGAUGCAAGCGCAUCACUAGUAGAUGGACCUGCGUUGUAUUAGCUAGUUGGUAAGGUAAGAGCUUACCAAGGCGACGAUACAUAGCCGACCUGAGAGGGUGAUCGGCCACACUGGGACUGAGACACGGCCCAGACUCCUACGGGAGGCAGCAGUAGGGAAUCUUCGGCAAUGGACGAAAGUCUGACCGAGCAACGCCGCGUGAGUGAAGAAGGUUUUCGGGUCGUAAAGCUCUGUUGUAAGUCAAGAACGUGUGUGAGAGUGGAAAGUUCACACAGUGACGGUAGCUUACCAGAAAGGGACGGCUAACUACGUGCCAGCAGCCGCGGUAAUACGUAGGUCCCGAGCGUUGUCCGGAUUUAUUGGGCGUAAAGGGAGCGCAGGCGGUCAGGAAAGUCUGGAGUAAAAGGCUAUGGCUCAACCAUAGUGUGCUCUGGAAACUGUCUGACUUGAGUGCAGAAGGGGAGAGUGGAAUUCCA